rnacentral:tRNA from 1 species
GGAUAUAGCUCAGUAGGUAGAGUGCCUGCCUUGCAUGCAUAAGGCCCUGGGUUCAACGCCCAGCACCA